rnacentral:rRNA from 1 species
UACGUAGGGGGCAAGCGUUGUCCGGAUUUAUUGGGCGUAAAGAGCUCGUAGGCGGCUUGAUAAGUCGGAUGUGAAACCUCCAGGCUCAACCUGGAGUCGCCAUCCGAUACUGUCAUGGCUAGAGUCCGGUAGGGGCCCACGGAAUUCCUGGUGUAGCGGUGAAAUGCGCAGAUAUCAGGAGGAACACCAGUGGCGAAGGCAGCAGAUUGGGCCGGUAUUGACGCUCAGGCACGAAAGCAUGGGGAUCAAACAGG